rnacentral:rRNA from 1 species
AUUGAACGCUGGCGGCAGGCUUAACACAUGCAAGUCGAGCGGAGAUGAGGUGCUUGCACCUUAUCUUAGCGGCGGACGGGUGAGUAAUGCUUAGGAAUCUGCCUAUUAGUGGGGGACGACAUUCCGAAAGGAAUGCUAAUACCGCAUACGUCCUACGGGAGAAAGCAGGGGAUCUUCGGACCUUGCGCUAACAGAUGAGCCUAAGUCGGAUUAGCUAGUUGGUGGGGUAAAGGCCUACCAAGGCGACGAUCUGUAGCGGGUCUGAGAGGAUGAUCCGCCACACUGGGACUGAGACACGGCCCAGACUCCUACGGGAGGCAGCAGUGGAGAAUAUUGGACAAUGGGGGGAACCCUGAUCCAGCCAUGCCGCGUGUGUGAAGAAGGCCUUAUGGUUGUAAAGCACUUUAAGCGAGGAGGAGGCUACUGAGACUAAUACUCUUGGAUAGUGGACGUUACUCGCAGAAUAAGCACCGGCUAACUCUGUGCCAGCCGCCGCUGUAA